rnacentral:rRNA from 1 species
AUUGAACGCUGGCGGAAUGCUUUACACAUGCAAGUCGAGCGGCAGCACGGGGGCAACCCUGGUGGCGAGCGGCGAACGGGUGAGUAAUACAUCGGAACAUGCCCAGUCGUGGGGGAUAACACUUCGAAAGAAGUGCUAAUACCGCAUACGUCCUGAGGGAGAAAGCGGGGGAUCGCAAGACCUCGCGCGAUUGGAGUGGCCGAUGUCAGAUUAGCUAGUUGGUGGGGUAAAGGCCUACCAAGGCAACGAUCUGUAGCUGGUCUGAGAGGAUGAUCAGCCACACUGGGACUGAGACACGGCCCAGACUCCUACGGGAGGCAGCAGUGGGGAAUUUUGGACAAUGGGGGCAACCCUGAUCCAGCCAUUCCGCGUGAGUGAAGAAGGCCUUCGGGUUGUAAAGCUCUUUCGGCAGGAACGAAACGGUGAGCUCUAACAUAGCUUGCUAAUGACGGUACCUGAAGAAGAAGCACCGGCUAACUACGUGC